GGGGGAUGGGGGGCGGCCCCUGGAGCUGCUCGUCAAUGACCAGGCGGUGGCGCUGUCGCUGUCGCCCACCCCGGGGCGCUGGCAUCACGUGUGCGUCACGUGGUCGGCGGCGGGGGGCACGUGGCGCAGCUUCCAGGACGGGGCCCCCCGCGGCGGGGGGGCGGGGCUGGCGCCGGGGCACGCGCUGAGAGCGGGAGGGGUCCUCGUGGUGGGGCAGGAGCAGGACGCCCUGGGGGGGGCCUUUGACGCGACGCAGUCCUUCCAUGGGGCGCUCUCGGGGCUGCAGCUCUGGGGCCGGGCGCUGGCGGCCGCCGAGGUGGCGGCGGUGGCCGCGUGCCGCGAGCGCCCCCGCGCGGACGUCCUGGCCUGGGCGCGCCCGGCGCUGGAGCUGCACGGGGGGGUCACGGAGCGGCCCUUCCGGCCCUGCGCGUGACGGACCCCCCC